UAUUUUUUCCAUCAUUGCUGUAAUUUUUAAUACGGAAACUUGGAAGGAGAUCGGUAUAUUUCUAACAGUCAACGCAGCCAGAACUAUGUUUUUCUUUAGGAGCUUCACUUUUAAAUCUAAACAAUGUCUGGGACCAUCGGGAACUAUCCAAACUCAGCUGGUGAGCACAACGUUCGAUGUCCAAAUACCCAGGAAAAUUUGCCUGAUUCAUCAACAAAAUUGUGGCAGCUACUCCUUAUAGCCAGACCACCCGUUACCAACUUUAUUCGAGGCCCAACAAUUCUUUUAGGAGAUGGAUAUUAUGCAGUUCGUGCGGUUGCCCCAAAGCGAAUUAGAACCGAAAAUAUGCAGUUAGUGUGUGGACAACGUAUACCUAAACAUGAAAUUUUGAGAGAAUGUCAUGUUCGUUCAUUUUUACUAGAAUGUCUACAGGAAAUUUUGAGAACGCAGUUCAAAUGUAGUACAUACUAUACCAUUUGCAGAGAAUGAUAGAAGAAAAAAAUCUUAACUUAUCAUCAAAACGAAAUGCCGUCUUACAAGUGACUAUAUGUGAUCCCUGAACAACUGGCUAUCGGAAAAGCUCGAGCACCUAAUGGAGUUCUCUCACGCUAUUAUACAAUUAUUAACCAAACAUAUUUCCGAUAGUUUUUAAAAGUAUUAUUAAACUCUUCAGAGAAACUAUCAGAACUGUUAUGGUUAAGGUUUCUAACACAUCAGUAUAACCCGUUUCGAUGCCUAAAACAGUAUAGAUAUCUAUGAAAGCAUGGGUACUCAUUUUUUAAUCUUGUUUUCUUGGCCCAUUUGAUAUACGCUAUAGAAAUAACAAGAAACUAUGC